AACCACGUUUCGCAAGUUUUAUCGGAACAAGUUUUCUGGUUUUAUUACAUAAUUGACAGACACACUUGUUCAACCGCUUAUAUAAAUUAAAUGUCACGUCAUAGUACGUACAUCAUAGGAAGCACAGGUCCCUGCUGCUUGCUGUCUCCCAUCAUCAGGGUGAUGGACUAUACAGUACUACAGCCCAGAAGACAGCAAUCUUCAUACUCACCACCAUGAGAACUUCAAAUCAUAAUCUCCAAGUCCAUGCAGAGAUGAAUAACAUCCAUGAUUCAAGCUCAGAAAUUCUGGACAUCUUACUAAAGUGUCAGGUCUUGAAACCAGUUCUUAAACAGAUUUUUUCAUCUCAUUUGGCAUGCAGAAAUCAGAAAGAAAAGUGAAUCCACAGGGAAUGGAAACCAUGUCUUUCAAAGGGUCAACCACCUUCUAUACAACUAAAGCUUUUUAUUUAACAAAGUCUGAAGAAAAAGGAACAAAUUAUCUGAGAACCUAUGAUGAAUUUUACUAAAACAAAAGUACUUACAACUGUGAGCAGACCUGAGACAAGGGAUGAUACAAGAUCCUUGCCAGCACGAGCACAGACAAUAGUAUUAUGUGCACCUGACACAGCUGGUCCAUGGUCAGCCGUUACCAUGAGACACAUUUCAAAGAAUUUACAGACAUACGGUGGAAGACAGCGCUGGAACCACAGGAGUGACACUACACCUCCAAUUCCAACAUCACGCUUCAAGACCUGAAACCAAUAAGCCAGAAACACUAUUUAUUUGCCAAAUUACAUAUUAAUCAUGUUUUCAUAUCCAAUAUUUUAUUGAAUUUAUAACACAACCAUUACUAUUCACUCCAGAACACCGAGACAAUGAAAUAAAUAUGAAACUUUGCGUAACUACCAAUUAACAAACUAAAGAACUGUAUGGCAAUAAAACCUGCAGAUUCAACACUGCUACUAUCAAAACCCA